rnacentral:rRNA from 1 species
AGCGAACGCUGGCGGCAGGCCUAACACAUGCAAGUCGAACGAACCUUUCGGGGUUAGUGGCGGACGGGUGAGUAACACGUGGGAACGUUCCUUUAGGUUCGGAAUAACUCAGGGAAACUUGUGCUAAUACCGAAUGUGCCCUUCGGGGGAAAGAUUAAUCGCCUUUAGAGCGGACCGCGUCUGAUUAGCUAGUUGGUUGAGGUAAUGGCUCACCAAGGCGACGAUCAGUAGCUGGUCUGAGAGGAUGAUCAGCCACAUUGGGACUGAGACACGGCCCAAACUCCUACGGGAGGCAGCAGUGGGGAAUCUUGCGCAAUGGGCGAAAGCCUGACGCAGCCAUGCCGCGUGAAUGAUGAAGGUCUUAGGAUUGUAAAAUUCUUUCACCGGGGACGAUAAUGACGGUACCCGGAGAAGAAGCCCCGGCUAACUUCGUG